CAAGUCGAGCGAACGGACGAGAAGCUUGCUUCUCUGAUGUUAGCGGCGGACGGGUGAGUAACACGUGGAUAACCUACCUAUAAGACAGGGAUAACUUCGGGAAACCGGAGCUAAUACCGGAUAAUAUUUUGAACCGCAUGGUUCAAAAGUGAAAGACGGUCUUGCUGUCACUUAUAGAUGGAUCCGCGCUGCAUUAGCUAGUUGGUAAGGUAACGGCUUACCAAGGCAACGAUGCAUAGCCGACCUGAGAGGGUGAUCGGCCACACUGGAACUGAGACACGGUCCAGACUCCUACGGGAGGCAGCAGUAGGGAAUCUUCCGCAAUGGGCGAAAGCCUGACGGAGCAACGCCGCGUGAGUGAUGAAGGUCUUCGGAUCGUAAAACUCUGUUAUUAGGGAAGAACAUAUGUGUAAGUAACUGUGCACAUCUUGACGGUACCUAAUCAGAAAGCCACGGCUAACUACGUGCCAGCAGCCGCGGUAAUACGUAGGUGGCAAGCGUUAUCCGGAAUUAUUGGGCGUAAAGCGCGCGUAGGCGGUUUUUUAAGUCUGAUGUGAAAGCCCACGGCUCAACCGUGGAGGGUCAUUGGAAACUGGAAAACUUGAGUGCAGAAGAGGAAAGUGGAACUCCAUGUGUAGCGGUGAAAUGCGCAGAGAUAUGGAGGAACACCAGUGGCGAAGGCGACUUUCUGGUCUGUAACUGACGCUGAUGUGCGAAAGCGU
rnacentral:rRNA from 1 species